GUGCUUGCUUCAGCAGCACAUAUACUAACACUGGAAUGAUACAGAAAAGAUUAGCAUGGCCCCUGCGCAAGGAUAACACGCAAAAUUGUGAAGCGUUCCACAUUUAA
ensembl:snRNA U6 U6 spliceosomal RNA